UGCAGUCGACGGCAGCAUAGGAGCUUGCUCCUGAUGGCGAGUGGCGAACGGGUGAGUAAUAUAUCGGAACGUGCCCUAGAGUGGGGGAUAACUAGUCGAAAGACUAGCUAAUACCGCAUACGAUCUACGGAUGAAAGUGGGGGAUCGCAAGACCUCAUGCUCCUGGAGCGGCCGAUAUCUGAUUAGCUAGUUGGUGGGGUAAAAGCCUACCAAGGCAACGAUCAGUAGCUGGUCUGAGAGGACGACCAGCCACACUGGGACUGAGACACGGCCCAGACUCCUACGGGAGGCAGCAGUGGGGAAUUUUGGACAAUGGGGGCAACCCUGAUCCAGCAAUGCCGCGUGAGUGAAGAAGGCCUUCGGGUUGUAAAGCUCUUUUGUCAGGGAAGAAACGGUAGUAGCGAAUAACUAUUACUAAUGACGGUACCUGAAGAAUAAGCACCGGCUAACUACGUGCCAGCAGCCGCGGUAAUACGUAGGGUGCAAGCGUUAAUCGGAAUUACUGGGCGUAAAGCGUGCGCAGGCGGUUGUGUAAGUCAGAUGUGAAAUCCCCGGGCUCAACCUGGGAAUUGCAUUUGAGACUGCACGGCUAGAGUGUGUCA
rnacentral:rRNA from 1 species